GGAGGUUGGCUGCUGCACUGUGGUUCUACUGCCUCACUGAUACUACUAUAGUCUGUCUAAUAAUACACAGUUUACAGGCCUUCAGUGAUUGGUAUAGAGGGGGUUGGAUAGGCCUUCAGUGAUUGGUAUAGAGGGGGUUGGAUAGGCCUUCAGUGAUUGGUAUAGAGGGGGUUGGGUAGGCCUUCAGUGAUUGGUAUAGAGGGGGUUGGGUUGGCCUUCAGUGAUUGGUAUAGAGGGGGUUGGAUAGGCCUUCAGUGAUUGGUAUAGAGGGGUUGGAUAGGCCUUCAGUGAUUGGUAUAGAGGGGUUGGAUAGGCCUUCAGUGAUUGGUAUAGAGGGGGUUGGAUAGGCCUUCAGUGAUUGGUAUAGAGGGGGUUGGAUAGGCCUUCAGUGAUUG